rnacentral:lncRNA from 1 species
UUUUGUUUUGUUUUUGUUUUGCGAGGCUGUCUUCUGAUUUCUUAGGCUAUAUAGAAACAUUUUCUCUAACAAUGGUGUUUACUUCACAGACAACGGUCAGUGGAGGGCCGUGUCCACCGGGACAUUACUGUGCGGUGGGGAGCAGCAGAGCCCAGCCUUGCCCUGCAGGGAGUUAUAGUCCCUCUUGGAGUAUGGCACAAUGUUUGGAGUGCCCAGAGGGCUUUUACUGCAAGACUGCUUCCACAGAUUACACGGAUUGCCCUGCAGGACACUACUGCCCCAAGAGUACAGAAUUUGCCACACAGUACCCUUGUCCCCCUGGAACCUACUGUGAAGCUUUAAAUAUCUGGGAUGUCUCCAAGUGCCAGCUGUGUCCUCCUGGAAGGGUCUGUUCCAAGCCAGGCCUAGCAAGACCAGAUGGACUCUGCAUGCCUGGAUGGUUUUGUCCACCCGGAUCCACAUCAAGCAAACCAGUGUUUCCUGGGAGUCACUCUGGUAUUAAGGGGAAUUUUAAAGCUUGAUGAUGGUUAUUAGUGAGGGGUGGUAUUGCAGAGUCACCCAGAGGACCCAGCCAGGAUCAGGAUGGCUUGAACUUUUCCCUUGUUACUCUUCUGAAUUCUGUGCUGUAGUUCUGUUCUUCCUGGUUUGUGUGUGUCUUUGUUUUUUCUGUUUGUUUGUUUGUUUGUUUUUAAGAUAGAGCUCUUCCAGUUUUUAUAUUUCGCCUCAGUCUGUCCUUUGCAUUAGCAGGUGUGGCAAGUGCAGCUUCUGGAUCAGUUGGACUGUGCCAAGCAGGAACCUUUUGUCCCGCUGGUUCAUUUCUUCCUGUUCCCUGCACUCCAGGUAGGAGAGGUGUUACAAGUUUGGAGUUUUAUGUUUUGAUCUGUUUGUUCUGGUGCAUACUCUCACCUCUUUUGCCAGGCUCGUUAAGCAAUCCCAGUCGUGUGCUUUGACUGUAGGAGGUCUGCUGCCUCUUCAGUGAGGGCCUUGUCUCUUCCCCUGCUUCAGGUUUGUACUGUGCAACUGCAGAGCUGGCAGCUCCAUCGGGUCCCUGUGAGGCUGGCUUCUACUGCACGAGGGGCUCCAUGCUCCCCAACCCCAUGGAUGGAGCAGUGGGGAACGUUUGUCCUCGAGGCCACUUCUGUCCUGCAGGGAGUUCUUCUCCAUCUCCGUGCCCCCGAGGUAGGUUGGAUGGCAGCUGCUGGAUGCUGUCGUUUCUCUUCCCGAAACCCUGCGAGCGGCUGAGCCCAUCGAAGUCCAUGCUGUUGUUCUGCGGC